UUGUGCGUCAUUUGAUGGGAUCCAUGGGAUUUCGUCCUUGAAGUGUGUAGAAACGGAGGCCACCUUCUAUAUGAUAAGGUCCUUGGAAAAAGAAGUAGCUACUGCCAUAGGCAAGAAAUGGUUUUAAAAAAAGAAACAAGAAUAAUUGAAGUGGAUAAUGCAAGUAAUUUAAUAUGCUACCAGAGUCCUCCAGUUGUUUACAGUGGCCACUUCACAUCAGAAUUAGAGAAGAUAGGCUUAUAAAUUCUCGUUAUGACUAAUACAUUUAUCUUCAUCUGGCAAAAAGUAGUACCACCAUACAGCUUCAGAAAUUUAUUUUCAUUUCUUUAUCUGACUAUGUUACAGCACCAAAGGAAAAGCAAAACAUGAUGGUAGUAGCUGAAUUUCUUUGGAAAGCAUUAUUUUUCCUAGGUGUUCUUUCUCUCUCUCCUUCCUUCUUUCCUUAUCUUCUGAAUAAAGGCUGUACUGGAAGAAUAUACUGUAUUCUGAAAACAAUGUUAUCUCAUUUCCCCCCACUAAUGGGACUCAAGGCAGCCUACAAAAUAUUUAAAAGCAAGAUGGAGUAAAACUAUACAAAACGUAAAUAGAAGUUUCCUGAUGUUUUGAAAAAAACAAAAACAAAACCCCAACUAUUGAACUGUCUACCACUCAUUCUUCUAUCAGUUAAAAUAAUACAAGGGUUGAAUGAAAAGUAAUGCUUCCACCUUCAUUACUUGGGUUUCGAUGGGAAUAUUUUAAUAAAUCAAACACAGAAAUAAUCCUUAGAAUGUGCUCUUUAACUACCACUAUUCACUUUCCCACAUAAUCACCAGAAAAUUGGAUACAUUUCUGCCAAUGAUGAACAAGUUCUCUGAAGCCGUCACGGAAGAGGUCGACACUCUGUUUCCACAACCAGAGUCUCACAGUCCCCAUCGUGCACCGAUCUCCCGAUAGCCAAGCAAAGCAAUAAUGUGACCGAAACGUUCUUGUGAAAUAUCAAAUAUGCUUGAAAAUUCUCUCUGAGUGAUACGACGAUUGUCCUGAAUCAAUCUGUCAACCUUUUGCUUGUGAAACUCGGUGGUUGCUGUCACAGGAUGUCCAACUCUUUGUUUGUCAUGCAAGUUAGAUAUUCCCGCCUCAACAUCUUUAAACUUACUCGCCCAACAAUGCACAGUACUCACAUCAACACAAUCACCAUAAACAGCUUGCAUUCACUGAUGAAUCUCCUUUGGGGUGCUUCUGCUAUCAAGAAUUCAAUGACUGCAGGUUGCUUAAGUUGCAUUGACUGACUGUCUGCACAGGGUCCCAUACUUUGCACUUUAACAACACAACCAUUCAAUGCUAAGACUUUCCACCAAAUGGAACUGUAGAGGAGGGUCUACUGAACAAGCCAGUACCUGCUGCAUACCAGUACUGCCAUCUGUUGAGAAGUUACAAAGAUGGAGGCAUUACUUUUCAUUCAACCCUUGUAUACUCUGCUUGAAAGUGUACAUCAUCAUUCUUAUUGAAUGCAAGUGUAUCUUAAGAUACUGUUUCUUCCCAAAUGUUAUUAUAAUUAUGUGAAAAAUCCAUGCAAAACAAAGAAAAAGAGUUGUAACAAGGGCAACACAGAGAACUUUGGUUAUUUUUUAACUGUAUCAUUUCCAUUCCCCCUUUAAUCAUGGACGUUUUGCCACUAUCUUCCUUUGUUUUGCUAUUCUGACAAUCAGAAGCUAAAGCAUGUUUAGUCAUCCACUAAUUUUGACUGGAGCCAUAGCAACCAUGACAAACACACUGAGCUGUUAACACAAAAGAUAAAGACAUGCAUCCUGUUAAAUAGCUUGGAACUUUUUGACCCCAGUAUAGCUGGCAUCUUUUAUCACCUUUUUCUUCUUUCAUUUCCACAAAAUAGUUUAUUUGUGGUUCAUUUUUCCCCUGAAAGCAGCCACAUUGCUUUUCCUUGCUGCUGAAUUGUUAUACUAUUUCUGCUCAAAACACAACUUGGAGGAAUUUGUAACAUACUUCCUGUUUAUUUUUUAUAAGUAAAAGCAUUUAAAUACAUGCAAACGUAAACAUUCCUUCUUGACCAACUUGAAGGAUUAUAUUUUAAAACCCAGUCAGAAAGCCAAAUAUUUGUCAAGAAUAUGAAAAAGACAGACCCUCAAAGCACCACAGCUCAAGGAUGAAAUGGGACAGGCAAGCUAGACACUCCCCAUCAGACAUGUUUUCCAGCUGGAACUACGGAUCUCAACACUUUUAGGACCCAUCUACACUGACUAUUUAAUUCAGCUUCAAGAUGGCUUGAAACCAUGGUGGUCACAAAACGCAAAGUCCCAGGAAAGCCUGGCUUAUGUAAUAAAAGGCACUGCAGAAGAUCCCAGUGUAUAACAGAUCCAGGAUGAAAAUUGGCUCCACAAAAUGCAGAGUGCACUGUAGACAUCCACCCCUGCUGAAGCGCAGUAAAGAAUCCAUAAUGAGGGCUGCUGAGAAAUGUCCCAAGGAUGUGGUUGGGCAGCAGGGGCUAACUGACCCCUUGAGAGGGAUAAUUGAUUACCAUCCUUUUAACUGUCACUUUUCCUUUUUUAUCACUGCAGGAAAUGGAAAGAAAACCUUGCACAGUGGUUUGAAGUCAUGUUCUGUGUCCAAAGUAAUCACCAUCCUGGUUUCAAAUCAGUUCUAGGCAUAGUGAUCUAAUCAUCCGCGCCGUGACGCUGGUUCAUCCUGAACUUGUUCUAAGCUGCGUUAAAAUGGACCUGCAUCCAACCAAUUGGGAGGGAAAUACAUUUUGAGAUGUAGAAACGUUUAGAAAGAAAGAAAAAGUACACUAUGAACACAAUACAAGAUCUUCAAGGCAAGAUUUCUGGACAAACAAUGGUGCUUACUUAAAAGCAGAAAAUAAAGAUACUUCAAUAGAAAAGAAGCAAUCACCUGGAGAGAGAGAGUGAGAGAGUACUAAGACUGUUUAACUCAACAGGACUUUCACAAGGGAUGCACAGUUGUUUGAAUUAUUCUUCUGAGCAGAUUGUCAGAUUGGUGCAUCAAAUUUACUCAUUUCUAUGUUGAUUUGCAGAAUACCCUUAUUCAAAAUCCUAGGCAUCUGUGCAUAUUUUUUUCCAAAUGAACACAGUGUCAUGCACAUUUUAGAAAUCUUUGCAUUCCACACGCACGAAGUUAAAGUGUCACUGUGCUGGUGUUUCCAGAUGUGUGAAUUUUAGAAUUUACACCUGUGGGUCCAAAAUCCAGAUACUCAUCAUAAUGUAUCACUGCUUAUAAACCAUCUUCUCUAUUAUUGUUUUAUUAAAAGUUUGAUGCUGUGAAAGACUAUAGUCUUGGAACUUAUAUGAUAUAUACAUAGCACAUACACCAAAGAGUGUGGAUUAGUGCUUUAACAAUUGGACCACAACUCUGGAGACCAGGUUUUGAUCCUCCACUGGGUGACUUAGAGAGAGUCACACACUCAGUUCUAGAAAACCCCUUGGUAUGUAUUGCCAGAAACAACGACAAUAUAUACCAUAGGAUAUAUCAUCUAUAUGUUCAUUAUAGAUGAACUGCCCUUUUACCCCUUUCCAUAAACAACACAAAAUAAUUCUUGAUUUAGGAUACAAGUAUAUCUCAUGGAAUACCCAACAUGACUUUGCUUAUUAUUUCUCCCAGUGCUCAAUAUUUUCCUGCAUUCUCCAUGUUAGACACUCAUAAAAACAUUGAAAAACAUUAUUAGAAAACAGACAUUAUAAAGCCAGAUCUUGCUUAAUGGUCAGUUCAAAGAAUGCAGCUUCCAUCAAUAAUAUUUAUUUAUCCUGUCAGAAGCGAACUGAAGGUCCAGUUAUAAUGUAUUUUUUUAAAAAAUACACAAAGUCAAAAAUUUGGCAUUAUACUAUAUUUCCUUUGACCAGAAGCUGGCCACAUGGAGUGCCUCAUGUGUCACUGCAAAAAGGUACUCCACCUUGCAUGUGGCAGGGCUCAGGCCGCACUGUAGCAAGUGGUAUUUGGUUUGCUUUUCUCCACACUUGAACAUCAUGGAUUCCACUUUGUAGCCCCAUUUCUUAAGAUUAGCUCUGCAUCUCAUGAUGCCAGAACGCAGUCUGUUCAGUGCCUUCCAAGUCGCCUAGUCUUCUGUGUGCCCAGGAGGGAAUUUCUCAUCCAGUAUCAGCCACAGAUUGAGGUUCCGAGUUUUAGCCUGCCACUUUUGGACUCUCGCUUUCUGAAGUGUUCCUGUGAGUGUUUCUGUAGAUCUUAGGAAGUUAUUUUUUUGAUUUACAAUGUUGGUUUGCUGGCUGAUAUCCAAAAAGCGGAUGGGCCGGAAAUGUCAAUACUUUGGUCCUUUCAUUACUGGCUGCCACUUCCCGAUGGAUAUCAGGUGGUGCAAUUCUGGCUAAGCAGCAUAAUUUCUCCAAUGGUGUAGAGAAUAGACAUCAUGUGAUAAUGCAGCAUGUUUCAUUAAGAGCCACAUCCACUGUUUUAACAUGGUGAGAUGUGUUCCACACUGGGCAUGCAUAUUCAGCAGCAGAGUAGCAAAGCGCAAGGGCAGAUGUCUUUAUUGUAUCUGAUUGUGAUCCCCAGGUUGUGCCAGGAAGCUUUCGUAUGAUAUUGUUUCUAGCACCCACUUUUUGCUUGAUAUUCAAGCAGUGCUUCUUAUAAGUCAGAGCACAGUCCAGAGCAACUCCCCGAAAUUUUAGUGUGCUGCAAUGCUCCAGUAGGAUUCCUUCCCAGGUAAUCCUCAGAGCUCAAGAUGCUUGUCUGUUCUUAAGAUGAAAAGCACAUGUUUGUAUUUUAGAUGGAUUAGGAAUCAGCUGGUUUUCCCUGUAAUAGGCAGUAAGAGCACCUAAAGCUUCGGAGAGCUUCUGCUGGCACAAUUGUCAGCAUAAAUGAAACUCUCUGUCCCUUCUGGCAGUGGCUGGUCAUUUGGGUAAAUGUUAAACAUUGAUGAAGCAAGCAUGCUCCCCUGUGGCAGGCCGUUCUUCUGUUUUUGCCAUCUGCUUCUCUGAUCCUGGAACUCAACAAUAAAGCUCCAGUUUUGUAGCAGUUUUCCUAUGAAGUGGGUGUGAUGUCUCAGGGACCCUCGAGUCAUGACCCCGCAGCCAUUAUGGAUCAGACUGAAGAGGAUAUGGGGUUUGUGCCAACUCAGCAAGAUUCUGCUCCCUUCCAGAUGUUCCCUGUUGACAGUUUGGGCCCAAAGCUAAUUACAAAAGCCCUUAAAACAGAGCCUGGUUCCCCGGAAAGUGCUCCUUUUGAUAGGAGAUUGAUUCUGAAAACAUUCAGCUCUGAGGAGAAUUGGAGACAAAGUGCGAGAUUAGCGGAGAGAGAGGACGCUAAUUAAACCGAUUCCCUUGAGAGUUUCCAGGGAAGGUUGCAUCUGGCAAAGUUGUUGUCUUCAGUCCGUUUCCCUUGGGAAAAAGUGUUCAGGCACCUGGUUUGAGGGGAGAUUUGAAGUCCCAUAAAAGUUCUGCGCGCAGGCUAGCCAGUUGGAAAGUUAACAUCGACCCUAGUUCCUGCGGCGCGCUACUCUUGAGUAGACCGUGCGUUACAUCUCGUCUCCCUGUCAAGUCUGGACUGCAAUUCAGUUCCACCAUGACCAACUUUGCCUUGCCUUGUUAUCCCAGCCUUGGACAUUGAACCUGGAACUCUUUGAAAGACCUUGCUUUACUCCCUACUCAAACUGCUUGGAAGUUUGAGUGUGUUUCGGUUAUUGGAUUUAAAACUUUGAACUCUAAUACUGGACAUCUAACUUUAUAUUAUUGGACUAUAUUUGACCUUUCCUAAAAGGACUAUUGCUGGACUAUAUACUCUGCUUAUUUUUGUUUGACUCAUUUAUUGCUUUAAUAAAGAUAUUAGAUUGUU